rnacentral:lncRNA from 1 species
UUAUUGGGCAUGGCUGCAUCAAUCCAAGUAUAUAUAUCUGGAUGAUUGAUUCCACACAUGUGGAGCAGAUAUUGGAGAUUAUUAAGAUUCUAGCUUAUUCCAAACUUUAUUUAUUUUUAUCACAGUUCUAGACUUCUAAUGUCUGUGAAAGAAGAAAAUCUUGACCGUAACACAAAAUGGCAACAAUAAGAAAAAGUUAUCACCGGAGCAAUGCAGUUAAGCGUUCCGGAUACCUAUCAGAAAGAAGUGACAUAUAUUAGCAUAUUUUAUCAGAACAAUUCAAUCUGCAAAUUAGCAAACAUGGACAUUCCAGUGCAUAGUAGUAUGAAAAAAGGUGAAAAACAAGUGAACUGUGACACAAUGUAACAGCCGAAUCAACAAGGACAUGUUAGAAUGUGAACAUAUUGGAGAUGAGAAUUCCAUUGACCUCUUGUUGGACUCUUCAAAUCAGAUCACUGAUGGCGCUUCCAGCAGCGAGGCUUCCCCACGACAAGGCAUCUUUCUGGCUAUUGUAGCUCUGGAGGAUUAUGUCAUCAAUAGAUAAUCUACCAGGAC